GACGGGACCCGCACAGCAGCGGAGCAUGUGGUUUAAUUCGAAGCAACGACGAAGAACCUUACCAGAUCUUGACAUCCAAUUGACCAUCUUUUAAUCGAGAUUUUUGUCCUUCGGGUACAAUUGAGACAGGUGGUGCAUGGUUGUCGUCAGCUCGUGUCGUGAGAUGUUGGGUUAAGUCCCGCAACGAGCGCAACCCUUGUGUUUAGUUGCAAACAGGUCAAGCUGUGCACUCUAGACAGACUGCCGUGGACAACACGGAGGAAGGUGGGGAUGACGUCAAAUCAUCAUGCCCCUUAUGAUCUGGGCUACACACGUGCUACAAUGGCCGGUACAACGGGCAGCGAAGGAGCGAUCCGGAGCGAAUCCUAAAAGCCGGUCCCAGUUCGGAUUGCAGGCUGAAACUCGCCUACAUGAAGUUGGAGUUGCUAGUAAUCGCGAAUCAGAAUGUCGCGGUGAAUGCGUUCCCGGGUCUU
rnacentral:rRNA from 1 species